rnacentral:rRNA from 1 species
GAUGAACGCUGGCGGCGUGCCUAAUACAUGCAAGUCGAACGAAACUUCUUUAUCACCGAGUGCUUGCACUCACCGAUAAAGAGUUGAGUGGCGAACGGGUGAGUAACACGUGGGCAACCUGCCCAAAAGAGGGGGAUAACACUUGGAAACAGGUGCUAAUACCGCAUAACCAUAGUUACCGCAUGGUAACUAUGUAAAAGGUGGCUAUACUACCGCUUUUGGAUGGGCCCGCGGCGCAUUAGCUAGUUGGUAGGGUAAAGGCUUACCAAGGCAAUGAUGCGGAGCCGAAUUGAGAGGUUGAUCGGCCACAUUGGGACUGAGACACGGCCCAAACUCCUACGGGAGGCAGCAGUAGGGAAUCUUCCACAAUGGGCGAAAGCCUGAUGGAGCAACGCCGCGUGGGUGAAGAAGGUCUUCGGAUCGUAAAACCCUGUUGUUAGAGAAGAAAGUGCGUGAGAGUAACUGUUCACGUUUCGACGGUAUCUAACCAGAAAGCCACGGCUAACUACGUG